rnacentral:rRNA from 1 species
CGCGUAGGCGGCCUGCUAAGUCUGAAGUGAAAGUCCUGCUUUCAAGGUGGGAAGUGCUUUGGAUACUGGUGGGCUGGAGUGCAGGAGAGGAAAGCGGAAUUACCGGUGUAGCGGUGAAAUGCGUAGAGAUCGGUAGGAACACCAGUGGCGAAGGCGAGUCCCUGGAAAACUCCUGACACUGAGGCACGAAAGCUAGGGGAGCAAACA